CCACUCAUGUCUGGAUCAAAAUGAACUUGAAAUGAUGAUGAAGAUAUCUGGACCGGGUCAUCUUCUGUGUGUUUCUGAAGUCUGACAAAGAGCUCUAUGAAACAAUGUUGCCUGCAUACUUCCCACGAGGUUCACCGCCAAAGAGCAAAUUAUGAGAGGAUGGCAUAGUUGCUGUGGAAACGCCACACAAUCUGCUUUUCCGUCACAUCACUGUCUCGCUUUUACCUGAUGCAGCCCCUACAAACAACAUCAACAACAGCUGCCUGACACCACCUGAUUUAUUCAUAUCACCAAACCAGUGCUCCAUUAAAUUCAAUGAUUGCUAUUAGCUUCCCGUUGGAAGUCAUAUUGCUAUUGGAUUUGUGUUAAUAUUAAUAACAAUGUGGGCUUACAAGUGGUAGUUCACCCAAAAAUUACACAUAGAUAGCAUUUUUUUCUGCUUUUCUUCUUUUUAUUUUAUUAUUAUUUGUUUUGUCUGUACAGUGGAAGUGAGUGGGGUCCAUCUCUGUUUGAACCCCAACAUUCUUCAAAAUAUAUUCGACAGAAGAAUGAAUGUGACAUUUUUUAGGUGAAACAGAAAAAUUAUUGCUUCAAAUAUAAUAUUUUUUCCCCAGUUGAUUGCAGAAAUAAUAUCAUAGAUGUGCAUGACCAUUUAUGUCUCAAAUUCUGUGUCUUUCAAAUCUAUUUAUGGCUUGCUCUUAUUAUUACUCCUUCCAGGAAAAAAUUUCUGCAGUUAUAUGAUUUGCACUGCAUUAGCAUUGAAAUUAUAAAAGAUAUCAUAUGUGAAUAUUGUUUAUAGAGUUGAAUAAAAAAUUGAAUUAAUGCAAUCAAAGGAAGAAAAGGAGUAUGUCAAUGGUUAUAACACUUAACUUAUAAUGAAAGUGCACUAUUUGUACUUCUUCAAUGUACUUUCUGUCUUCCAGUAUGAUAAAAGACCCUCAUUAAAGUCAACUCCUCUCUCUGAACUAAUGG